rnacentral:misc_RNA from 1 species
AUUCGGGAUUCCAUGAUGAUCUUCAAACUUUGUUUUGUUCUUUGCUUUAUAGCAUUGAAGGACGUGGCAUGCGCUACGUGCCCGUCAGUGACAGAAGCCAUGGCAAAAACCUGCAUAAGUGAGGAUCCAAGAUGUUCCCCAGUGCCUGUUGAGAUUAACAGCGGCACCUGUUUCACAGGGUGCAAUAUAGUAUGUUACAAAUAACGUAGAUGAAACUCGAUGUGAUAACCCGACAAAAACCGACGUCGAAACCUGUAAUGAUUUCGGAGAUGAGUUGUGUUCUUCAUUCGGAAUCGUAACCGUAGAGAAAGGAAGAAAAUGUUUCAAAGGUUGUGGUGUAAUGUGUUCUAAAAAAUAAAUGAGACCCCAAAGUU